ensembl:lncRNA
UGAGAUGUCAAUCGCGGGAAUUCACCACGCACGUCAUAGCAGACACGAGGCUCCGCCCACACCACAGGACCUUAUCGUCAUGUUGCCUUGUCAUAUUUGACAAGACAACAUUUUGUUUUGUCAUGAGCAGACAUGCAUGCAAACAUUUCCAAUACACAUUAAAAAAACACUUUUGAGCAGAACUUUAUUCUCUCAUUGAAGAAAACAAAAUCAUGGAGGUUGAAUAAUGUCUGUGACCUCCAACUUUACUGGAGCUGAUGGCAUGAAGCGGUUGGGAUGAGGAUCAGCACCUCUAAAUCUCACGGCCUCGGCUCUCAACAGGAAACCAAUGGAUUGUCUAUUCCAGAACGUUUUUCCACGCUAGCUGGCGAUGAAGAUGAUUGAACAUGAUCGAAAGCUCCAGCACAGCAACUCAGCAGCUGUGUCAAAGGUCAAGAAGGAACUCUGAGCCUCUGCUUUGAAACGUUAGAGCCAGAGGACAAUGUGAUGAGGAUUACACAACAGGAUCGAACGCUCCCAAAGCGAACUGACGGUGAGAAUCCCGCUGGCAGGAUCAUUUCCCACAGCCUAAAGUGAUGGAUUCAGAUUGCUUGUUUUGUUCAAUCAACAGAAAAACCGAAUAUAUCCUUUUCAAUUGAUUGAUAUACACUAUAGGACAAAGAAAAGCAUCAAAUUAUUAUAUUUCAGAUGCUAUUUAUAUAUGUCCAUAUAAAUAUCCAACAUUUUUACAUUAAGAAAAACUUAAACCACUAAAAACCACUACAAAAAAAAAUCUUUUAUUAUUGUUUACGAGGUUUACUGAAAAGUUGAUCAGUCUCAAUUAAACAUUGCAUGUCAUUCAGUGGCUGCAGCACUUCUGUCACACUCACACUCUCACAUUCAUAAUUUAUUUUGUGGCUCUGACAUCAGAACAGACAGGAGUUUGAAAUCACUUCCUGGGGCCACUGAGGGUCUAAUAAAAGGGACCCGGGGUGUUUUUGAAGCUGAUGCAUCUGUAGCAACACUUCCCAGAACUUCUUUUAUUGACUCAGAGCCACUCGGGUGCCCAGCUGCAGUGGGACCUGCUGCCCAACUGUGGCUCCUGACCUGUGGUUUGAGAAAACAUGAGGUUACUACUUUAAAUGUAACUACGCAGUGUAAAUGAAAGCGUCUCUGCCUGAGCUACACUUCAACUGAAGAUAUGCAUCAACACACAGGCACACAUACACGAGUCGAUGUGGUAUUGUGUGCGAGCAAACCCACACGCACACACACACACACAGACGUUUUCCCCGUGUGUCAUGACGUGGUGCUCUGGGACUAUUUAGCGAGAGAACAGCUCAGCGAGGGAGUCGUCAAAACAGGAAACGUUUUAUGUAGCUGAAACAUUCCAUUUUUAACUCUGACACAGGCUAGCAAAAAUAAAUAAAGGGCUCAGUGUGUGUGUGUGUGUGUGUGUGCAUUUAAAGUACGUAUAUCAGUUUCUGUGUGUUCCUGCAAUGUUGUGUUUGCUUUGUGUCUUGCAGUUUUGCAUGUGUGCGUGCCGGCUCGCACGCUGGUUUGGAUGUUAAUGUGUGCGUGUGUCACAUACCGGCCCUCCCCCAGGCACUGCAGAGGCCUCUGAGUCUCGUGAAGUCAUUUCCUCUAUGAUGGGGGACCGUGGCUCUGUGGGGGCACAAAGCAUUACAGUCCUCCAGACCAGGACUCACUUGAGUCAGUGCAGACCAGUGCAGACCGGAGGAGCCCGAAGUCACAUCUGGUCCAGUCGCUGCAGAGAAGUCUGCAGGAAAACUCCUUCACCGUCAGACCAGGUUCGAAGGCCACAGACCUCGACCCGACAAGGGAAUGCUCUCCACCCAAUUAUAGAUGGAGAAAAGAGCUGAAUAAAUAAUCCAGUGAUUGAUGGAAACGUGGACAUUCCAACAUGUAUUAUUCUCUAGAACGUCGAUGACGAAAUGUGAUGCCGGAGCCAUUCGGCAGCUGUGUGGAUAUAUUAUGUUGUUUACACCUUUCCUUCUGCUCAAUUUGUUUCUUUUCUCAUGAAGCUACUAAUAAAAAAGACGCCCGAUUGAGCCAUGAUGCCAUCGGUUUCAUGUCAUCAUGUCAUUUCUUUCAAAUGUUCAUUAAACACUGUCUGGUUGAUUCCAGGAUUUCGUCGUUUUCUUUCUCUUAAAAAGAGUUCCUGCACUUAAUCAUCUUGCAUUUUUUUAAGAAGUGUAAGGAAGAAAGAAAUGUGUAUGAAAAUGUUAUUUUACUAUUUUUAUGUAGUUUUUGAUCACAAACUUGUAUUUUCAGUUUAACAAGUUGCCAGAUACAAG